UCCCAUUUCUUUGUCCACCGCGGAGGAGAAAACAGAUCGAGCCUGCCCUCGCGUGACCGGAGCACCGACAGCCCGUGCAUGGCCAAUGAUAGGAAGGGGAUCCUCCAGGUCUGAUUCGAGCUGCGGUUGUAUCGCCGCCCACCAGCCAGGGCGCAUCUCGCCGUCGCCGAGCUGGAAAGGCGGAGGGUGGUCGCCGGCGAGGCCACUGGUGCCGGUACAGAUAGGUGAUUUUCUUCAUAUUUUAAUUCCUUGGGGAGGUGGAUUUGAUCCUUGGGAGACGCAUGAGGCUGGAUGAGUGCGUGGAUCAAACUUUCACUGCUUGAGGCUCGCUGCAGUGGCCGAGGUUCUGGAUGUUGGUGUCUGCUGGCCGCUGCUUAGUUGCUACCCUCAUUUUUUGUGUUGUCGAACUCCUACCAUUAGUAAGUACUCCAAAAUUCCCAGCUUGAAUUCAGAAUUAGUUUUUUAAAAUUUUACUGCUAAGCGAUACUCACAUUACAACUUUCCGUGUGGAAAAGGGCAUUUGUACUUAGAGAACAGACUAAAGCGAACAUAUGGAUCCGCCUAAUUAGGUUGAUCUCAACCUAGCAAGGGUUUUUUGCAUCUAAUUUUUCUUUGACCAAAAAAAGAGGUUUACGUUUACAUUCACAUUUGCUGAGCUAGGUAGCAAAAGAAUCAGCCUGAAGUGAGACAUGCAUAACGCCGGCAAUGCUAUAUUGGCGAACAUACAAAUGCAAGGCAUCUGAAGUAGCUACACCCAUGUUCUCUUAUCUUGCUUCUGGAAUCUUAUUGACUAAUGCUAGAGUUUAAAAGUUCUGAUUCAAUGUUCGUGCCACUUCUACAAAUUUUGUAGGGCAGUACACCAAUCGUUUUGUACACUUUUUUCUUCUGAAUUAGAACAACCUUUUGCACCCCAGAGGAACCAAUCUUGUUGUCUAAUGGUAGAUUAUUGCUUAUAAUUCAUCCGUAGCACUAUGAAGUGUUUGUUUCUUUUAUUUGUUGUUACCCCGUCCUUGCAAGAAGGCCUUCAUUUAUUAAUGGUAAUCUGGUUCAUAUGUCACAUACAAUUGGUUGGAUUUCUACAUGUGUUGUAGGUGGUGCCUAUGACAUUGAAGAUUUGUUUGUUUUUGUUAAAGUAUCAUUCAAGUACAACAUCUGAAGCCUAUCAUCAUGCACAACUUACUGCAUAGUUUCAUGUGACGAAGAUGAAUCAAAACAUAAGACUUGUUCCACAUAUUUGAUCUAUAAUCGCUGGGUUUCCUGAGAUCAAUUAGCGGUGAGGGAUUUCACGGAGCAUGGACCACCGGUUGGUGAAUUUCUGGGACGAAAUCACUUUACUGGGUCUAAGCUUGUUGGUGGAAGGGCAUCAAUUCUAGGGCAGCAUAUAUCACAAAGCAGUGGUUGGCCAAGGCAGGCUAAUGGAGAACGGUUGCAUCUGAAGCACACGGGAGAGGGUGGAACAGCGGCUAUGGUCCAAGAGAGGUAUGGGGUAACGGCGACAUAUUCGUAUAAGGAGAUCGCGGGGCAAAUAAUAUAGCAGCAAGAUGAGCAGCGCCUGAGGGCGGCCACUGUUGUUACCCUCCUCAUUGUUGUUGCUGCCGGAAUCCUAUCAAAUAAGCCACGAAAUUGAGGUAUGUAGAAGAUGAACAAACCUGAGAACUGAUGAUCCAAAGAAGAGUCGGAGCUCGAGCAUCACAUAGCCGUCAGCUAUGGUGGCUUGUGGGCGGAUGUUUCUCAGACCUAAGUUGUUGCCGCUGGACCGUGGUUACAUUCAUCCUAGCUUGGAGGAAAUGGUGCGGGAAGAUAUGCAUGUGCAGGGCGAAGAAGUGGACGAAGGCCGAAGUAGCAAUCUCUGCCUCCCUAUCGCUGCGUCCUGCUCCUCAAUAUGUCACCUUAGUCAUGGCCGCCUUAUCCCUCAUGCUGCUGAUUUGAAUCUGCCCUACUCUUCUUCUCCUAGACUGCUCGAGCGCUUCAGCGGGUGCCUUGCCGACGACAGGGAAGGAAGGACCAGAAAGCCACGAAAUUGAGGUACGCAGAAGAUGAACAAACCUGAGAACUGAUGAUCCAAAGAAGAGUCGGAGCUCGAGCAUCACAUAGCUGUCAGCUAUGGUGGCUUGUAGGCGGAUGUGUCUCAGACCUAAGUUUUUGCCGCUGGACCGUGGUUACGUUCAUCCUAGCUUGGAGGCAACGGUGUGGGUGGGUAUGCAUGUGCAAGGCGAAGAAGUGGACGAAGGCCGAAGAAGCAAUCUCUGCCUCCCUAUCGCUGCAUCCUGCUCCUCAAUAUGUCACCUUAGUCAUGGCCGCCUUAUCCCUCAUGCUGCUGAUUUGAAUCUGCCCUACUCUUCUUCUCCUAGACUGCUCGAGCGCUUCAGCGGGUGCCUUGCCGACGACAGGGAAGGAAGGACCAGAAAGCCACGAAAUUGAGGUACGCAGAAGAUGAACAAACCUGAGAACUGAUGAUCCAAAGAAGAGUCGGAGCUCGAGCAUCACAUAGCUGUCAGCUAUGGUGGCUUGUAGGCGGAUGUGUCUCAGACCUAAGUUUUUGCCGCUGGACCGUGGUUACGUUCAUCCUAGCUUGGAGGCAACGGUGUGGGUGGGUAUGCAUGUGCAAGGCGAAGAAGUGGACGAAGGCCGAAGAAGCAAUCUCUGCCUCCCUAUCGCUGCGUCCUGCUCCUCAAUAUGUCACCUUAGUCAUGGCCGCCUUAUCCCUCAUGCUGCUGAUUUGAACCUACCCUACUCUUCUUCUCCUAGGCUGCUCAAGCGCUUCAGCGGUGCCUCGCUGACGACAGGGAAGGAAGGAUCAGAAGUGACGGCUAUAGCCCCAGGAAUUUGGAAACCAUAGGAAUUGAUCUUCUUUAUAAAACGUGUGUGGCAAGGGACGUGGAACCUGCUUCAGGGAAGACGAGAUGGAUCAUGUGAGAGAAGGGACCAGUUUUUUUUUGCCAAUUGCCUAGUCCAUAUUGUCCAUGUAUUCGAAGCAUGCAAACGUGUGGCUCCUGGAGUUUGUAUUGCUCUUGGAUAUGUGUAAGCGUUUUGUUUUUUAUUUUUCCCUUUUUUGCUUUCCAAUUCGGACAUGCAUCAGUUCGUACCUGAUUGUAUUGGACUCAAACAAUACGUGUCCAAGUUUUAUUGCUCUUGGAUAUGUGUAAGCGUUUUGUUUUUUA